AUACCGGUCAUUCUAUAUGUCUGGUAAUUGGAAUGAGAACAAUUUAAAUACCUUAUCGAGUAUCCAUUGGAGGGCAAGUCUGGUGCCAGCAGCCGCGGUAACACCAGCUCCAAUAGCGUAUAUUAAAGUUGUUGCAGUUAAAAAGCUCGUAGCUGGAUAUCUGGUAAGGUGGCCUGACCCGCCUCCCACACGGGAGUGUGUGUGUCGGCGCUUGCCUUAUCAUCUUUCCAGAGUCUACGCUGGAUCCUUCGGGGUUUGGUGUUUGAGUCUGGAUCUUUUACUUUGAAAAAAUUAGAGUGUUCAAAGCAAGCUUUUGCUGUGAAUACAUUAGCAUGGAAUAAUAAAAUAGGACUUUGGCCUAUUUUGUUGGUUUCUAGGACCAAAGUAAUGAUUGAUAGGGAUAGUUGGGGGUGCUUGUAUUGAACGGCCAGAGGUGAAAUUCUUGGAUUCGUUCAAGACAAACUACUGCGAAAGCAUUCACCAAGGAUGUCUUCUUUAAUCAAGAACGAAAGUUGGGGGAUCGAAGACGAUUAGAUACCGUCGUAGUCUCAACCAUAAACUAUGCCGACUAAGGAUCAGUGAAUGUUGAUUUAGACUUCAUUGGGACUUUACGAGAAAUCAAAGUUUUUGGGUUCUGGGGGGAGUCUGGUCGCAAGGCUGAAACUUAAAGGAAUUGACGGAAGGGCACCACAAUGGAGUGGAGCCUGCGGCUUAAUUUGACACAACACGGGAAAACUUACCAGGUCAGGACACAGGAAGGAUUGACAGAUUGCAGAUCUUUCUUGAUUCUGUGGGUGGUGGUGCAUGGCCGUUCUUAGUUGGUGGAGUGAUUUGUCUGGUUAAUUCCGUUAACGAACGAGGCCUCAGCCUACUAAAUAGUCGGAUGUAUACUUCACAGUGUACACUUCCGACUUCUUAGAGGGACUGUCGGUUUCUAGCCGAAGGAAGCAUGAGGCAAUAACAGGUCUGUGAUGUCCUUAGAUGUUCUGGGCUGCACGCGCGCUACAAUGUUGCAUUCAACGAGCAUUCACCCUUGAUCGAAAGGUCUGGGUAAUCUUUGAAAGUGCAACGUGCUGGGGAUUGAUUAUUGCAAUUGUUAGUCAUGAACCAGGAAUUCCUAGUAAACGCGAGUCAUCAGCUCGCAUUGAUUACGUCCCUGCCCUUUGUACACACCGCCCGUCGCUCCUACCGAUUGAAUGAUCCGGCGAAAUCUUCGGACUGUUGUAUUGAGUUGGGUUUUCUCGGCUCAGUGCCGACGGGAAGUUGAUUGAACCUUAUCAUUUAGA
rnacentral:rRNA from 1 species